AUAAAUUAGUUUAUUUAUUUAUAUAAAAAAAAUAAUUUUAUAUUUUAGUAUUUAUAAAGAAAAAAUAUUUUUUAUUAUAGUAAAAAGUAAAGUGAUUGAAAACUUAAAAAAUUUUUGAAAUUUUAUAUAUCUAAAAGAAUAAUUUAAUUUUAGUACCUUGUGUAUCAGGGUUUAUCAAAAAAAAAUUAUUUAUUUAAAUUUCUCGAAUUUAAAAGAGCUAAAAAAUUAUUUUUUUUAUUGUGAAAUAAAUAUUAAUAAUAAUUUUUUAGUAAUGAAACGUUAUUCGUUUUUAAAUAUAUCUAGUUUUUUAAGAAAUAAAUUAAAUUUAUUUAUUGAUAAAAAUUAAUUUUUUUAUAAAAAUUAAUUUUAUUAAUAUUAAAUAUUUUAAGGGAUAAGCUUUAAAAUAUAUUUAUAUAAUAAUUUAAUAAUAAAUUAAAAGUAGAAUUAAAAAUUUUUAUCUUUAAUAGUAUGUUAUAAUUAAUUUUAUUAAUUUAUUAUUUUUAAUUUAUUUAUAUUUUUUAUUAAAAUUAUUAAUUUAAUUUUUAAAUUAAUUUAAUAAUGAUAAAAUUAGUAUAAAUAAAAGUUUAAUAAUAAAUAUAAUAAAGGUUAAAUUAAGGAAUUCGGCAAAUUAAUUUUUCGCCUGUUUAUUAAAAACAUGUCUUUUUGAUUAUAAUUUAAAGUCUAAUCUGCCCAAUGAAUUUUUAAAUGGCUGCGGUAUUUUGACCGUACAAAGGUAGCAUAAUCAUUAGUUUUUUAAUUGAAAGCUAGAAUGAAUGAUUGAACGAGAAAAUUACUGUCUCAAUUUAAUUUUUUUAGAAUUUUAUUUUUAAGUUAAAAAGCUUAAAUAAUUUUUAAAGACGAGAAGACCCUAUAGAGUUUAAUAUUUUUAGUAUUAUAAAUUUUAUUAAUCUUUUAAUUAUUAAAAAUAUUUUAUUGGGGUGAUAAUUAAAUUUAAUAAACUUUAAUUUUUAUACACAUAAAUUUAUGAAUAAAUGAUCCAUUAUUAAUGAUUAAAAGAUUAAAUUACCUUAGGGAUAACAGCGUAAUUUUUUUUAAGAGUUCUUAUCGAAAAAAAAGAUUGCGACCUCGAUGUUGGAUUAAAAUUAAAUUUUGGUGUAGAAGCUAAAACUUUAAGUCUGUUCGACUUUUAAAAUUUUACAUGAUCUGAGUUUAAACCGGCGUGAGCCAGGUUGGUUUCUAUCUUAAAAUAAUUUAAAUAUUUUAGUACGAAAGGACCAAAUAUUUAUAAUAAUUAUUAAUUUUUGAAUAUUAUU
rnacentral:rRNA from 1 species